rfam:Eutrema salsugineum unplaced genomic scaffold scaffold_8, whole genome shotgun sequence.
AGGAAAUGAGGAGUGGUUAAUUACUCGCUUAUUUAAAUAUGCGAGAAGAGCGUUUCGCUCAGCCUGUUACGACAACUGAGCGCUCUCCUUCUUUUACAAUCUGAUCCC